UUCGGGAGUGCCGUGUAAAGUAUCGCGCGUCGGGAGUGCCGUGUAAAGUGUCGGGCGAUUGUAAUUAAUCAUAUUUUCGCGAGUGUCGUGAGUGUUCCAAGAGAGGAGGAGGAGGCCCAGGGAGGCAUCGGGCAACAGCGGGACAACUGCGAGAUCAUCAUGUACUGCGUACUUCAACUCCGUAUUGUACGUAUUGAAAUCUUACACGUCCGGAUCUGAAUGCAGUAGCGGACAUGAAUGCAAUGGAGCACCUUCGACGUGAAGGAUAGCAUUGCUGAUAAGCGACGCGCGAGUGUGACUGCGAGAGAUUCUCGACGUUGCUUCGUGCGGUUGUAGUUUUCGCAUCGUUUUUUUUUCAUUGCGCAAUGUACGCGAAAUACGCGUUGUAUCGGGAGUGCCGUGCAAAGUGCCGCGCGUCGGGAGUGUCGUAUAAAAUUUCGCGUGUCGGGAGUGUCGUGUAAAGUGUCGGGCGAUCGUAAUUAUUCGUGUUUUCGCGAGUGUCGUGGGUGCUUCCAAAGACGAGGAGAGGAGGAGGAGGCCUGAGGAGGCAUCGGGUGACAGCGGGGCAACUAUAAGGUAAGAUUGCUGCGCGCGAGUUUGCAAGAUUUUUGCAUUAUUUUUCCUUAUUAGGUGGUGUACGCGAAAUAUGCGUGCGAUUCACGCAUCGGGAGUGUCGUCCAAAUAAAUGUCGGGCGAUCGAAAUUAUCCGUGUUUUUCGCGAAUAUCGUAAGUGUUACGGAAAAGCAAUGUCGGUCGCGCGAGAUUGACUACGAAAGAUUCUCGGCGUUGCUUCGUGCGAUUGUAGUUCUCGCAUCGUUUCUUCUCAUUGCGCAAUGUACGCGAAAUACGCGUGCGGUUCACGCGUCGUGUCGGGAGUGCCGUGUAAAGUGUUGGGAAUCGGCGAUCGACCAAGAGAGGAGGACAGGCCAGAGGAGGUAUAUCGAGCGAUAACGAGUUAACUGUGAGAUCAACAUGCUGCACACUUCAACUCUGCUGUUGCACGUGGGGACAUCGGU